CUGGGCCGACUGUCCCCCCUCUCCAUUUGCACCCCCCUGCCCUUGUCCUCCACCGCCGCUGCUCGCGGUGUCUGUCACCACAAAGUCUAUCAUGCUCUCUGUGGAACGGCCGAUCUAAAGACACAUCAACAACCAGACUCAAGGGUUAAACCCUCCUCCCCUCCUGGCACUGGAAACACUCAUCGCUUUGCUCUGCUCCAUGACUGUGUGAUUUGAAUGACACCUUUGUUGGCAGUCAAAUGAAGUGUUUUGCAUCCGCAGCUAAAAUCUAAAGAUAACUCAGGAAAACCAUGCACAGGGUUGGCCGUAUUCUUACCCAAGUACAAUCAGCUCCCCGUACUUGAUGGGCGCCUUGUCCUCAGGGCAGAGAGCAUCAUGGGACUGAGAUCCUGAGCCCAGAGGAGGAGAUGGCUGAUUCUUGUUGC